rnacentral:rRNA from 1 species
UACGGAGGGUGCAAGCGUUAUCCGGAAUCAUUGGGUUUAAAGGGUCCGCAGGCGGAUUUAUAAGUCAGUGGUGAAAUCCUACAGCUCAACUGUAGAACUGCCAUUGAUACUGUAAGUCUUGAAUUCGGUCGAAGUGGGCGGAAUAUGACAUGUAGCGGUGAAAUGCUUAGAUAUGUCAUAGAACACCGAUAGCGAAGGCAGCUCACUAGGCCUGGAUUGACGCUCAGGGACGAAAGCGUGGGGAGCAACCAGG